rnacentral:rRNA from 1 species
UACGGGGGGGGCAAGCGUUGUUCGGAAUUACUGGGCGUAAAGGGCCAGUAGGCGGCCAACUAAGUCAGAUGUGAAAUCCCCGGGCUUAACCUGGGAACUGCGUUUGAAACUGAAAGGCUAGAGUGUGGCAGAGGGGGGUGGAAUUCCACGUGUAGCAGUGAAAUGCGUAGAGAUGUGGAGGAACACCGAUGGCGAAGGCAGCCCCCUGGGCUAACACUGACGCUCAUGCACGAAAGCGUGGGGAGCAAACAGG